AUGUUGUCCAGAAACUGCAGUUAAUACAGUAGGGCUAGGAAUAGGAUUAAAAAAUAUGGCACUGUGGGUCAGGCUGCAGCACCAGAGCACGUGCUCACGCAUAACGGGGGCCAACUGUUCACCCACUUGCCUGGCGGCCUUUUUAACCUUGAGCGACACUG